CUUCAAUGAAGAGAUGAUGACGAGUCUGACUGGAGGUGUGAUUGUCCAGGUGGCCCCUAUUCGGUGCUGCGUUCUGUGGCACGGUUUCAAGGGCCCUGGGUCAAACCCACCACCAAAAGAUGACCUAGAGGCAUUUGUCUGAGAAGG